rnacentral:rRNA from 1 species
ACGGCUCAGUAACACGUGGACAACCUGCCCAAAAGUCCGGGAUAACCCCGGGAAACUGGGGAUAAGACCGGAUAGGCCACCUGUGCUGGAAUGCUUGGUGGUUUAAACGCGAGGCUUUUGGAUGGGUCUGCGGCGGAUUAGGUUGACGCCGGUGUAACGUACCGGCGUGCCUGUAAUCCGUACGGGUUGUGGGAGCAAGAGCCCGGAGAUGGAUUCUGAGACACGAAUCCAGGCCCUACGGGGCGCAGCAGGCGCGAAAACUCUACAAUGCAGGCAACUGCGAUAGGGGGACAUCGAGUGGCACCCACCUUGGGUGCCUGUCCCACCGUCUAAAAAACGGUGGUUAGCAAGGGCCGGGUAAGACCGGUGCCAGCCGCCGCGGUAAUACCGGCGGCUCGAGUGGUGGCCGAUAUUAUUGAGUCUAAAGGGUCCGUAGCCGGCUUCGUGGGUCCCCCGGGAAAUCCAGCGGCUUAACCGUUGGGCGCCCGUGGGAUACCGCGUUGCUUGGGACCGGGAGAGGUGGGAGGUACUCGGGGGGUAGGGGUGAAAUCCUGUAAUCCUCCGGGGACCACCGGUGGCGAAGGCGUCCCACCAGAACGGGUCCGACGGUGAGGGACGAAAGCUAGGGGCACGAACCGGAUUAGAUACCCGGGUAGUCCUAGCCGUAAACGAUGCCCGCUAGGUGUCACGGCGGUCGUGAAUCGCCGUGGUGCCGUAGGGAAGCCGCGAAGCGGGCCACUUGGGAAGUACGACCGCAAGGUUGAAACUUAAAGGAAUUGGCGGGGGAGCAC